AACCAGCACCUCAAGUGGUCAGGAGGAUUAUUGGGCCUAAAGCAUCCGUAGCCGGCUCUGUAAGUUUUCGGUUAAAUCCAUGUGCUCAACGCAYGGGCUGCCGAAAAUACUGCAUAGCUAGGGAGUGGGAGAGGUAGACGGUACUCGGUAGGAAGGGGUAAAAUCCUUUGAUCUAUCGAUGACCACCUGUGGCGAAGGCGGUCUACCAGAACACGUUCGACGGUGAGGGAUGAAAGCUGGGGGAGCAAACCGGAUUAGAUACCCGGGUAGUCCCAGCUGUAAACGAUGCAGACUCGAUGAUGCAUUGGCAUAUAGCCAGUGCAGUGUCGCAGGGAAGCCGUUAAGUCUGCCGCCUGGGAAGUACGUACGCAAGUAUGAAACUUAA
rnacentral:rRNA from 1 species